UCGUAUAGGAUAAAUAGGGGGUUUGAUGUAAUACAUUGUGAGAGAAUAAUCUGAAUAAUAAUAUAGUGUUAUUCAGGAAUUCCCAGGCCCACGUUUUACAAAUCUUGUUUAAGUAUUUCAGUUA